UGCAAGUUCACGCCAGUGUCAACCAAAUUCGCUUACUGCUGUUUGAUGAAUGGGGAGAAAGACGUUGCAUCAAACCAAGCUUGGCCGGAGGAGAAAGCCCUAAUCGUCCGGAUCGCAGCAAGCUACCAGUUCGUUUCUUCAAACUUCAGCUUCACAUUUCAAUCUGUUAUUUAAUAUCCAUUUCGAGGUUUUGGAGUUUUCUUGAUCGAUGGCGACCGAAUCUGGCUUUGAAGCUUCUUCCUAUUCCGUGGGAUCAUACAAUGGGAGCUCGAUGAGUUUUAUUCCCAAAUGUGAGAUUCGUUAUGAAGGAAUUCUCUACCACCUCAGCAUCCACGAGUCUACCAUCGGCCUGAAGAAUGUCAAAUCAUGCUGGGGUCUCGACUUCACCUCUGUCUGCUUCAGUUGGACGUGAAACAUUGAUGGUCUCAAAACAGUGCCAGAAUACUCUGGCUUUUAAUAAUGGACAGCAUCCUAGCAGAUUGUCUGCAUAUCUGUAGCUGCAGGUCCAUUGCUUGCAUUGUCAGCAUCCUCAUUAACUCCUUUUCAAUUAUCAGUCUGUGGCAGACGUACUUUCCUCCACAAAAAGACUGUGUUGGUGCAAGAAACUUGGGUGCUUCCACACAUUUUCCUUGUAAUUCUUUGGUAUCAAUUGCUGCUUUAGAACAUUAAGCACCCUCGUUACUAUCUCCGAGAGAGACACCUGCUCAACAGUUCACUGAAUAAUUUGAUUUUCAAGCCACCAAUGAGGAGUUCAAGAAGGACGUGGGAUUGUCUUGGAAAAGCAAAGCAAAGCAAAGGGAACUUUCAGAGUUUACAGUGAACAAUGCGAUUAUUUUUAUCAUGGGGGAGAAAGACAUUGGACGCUACCUGGUGCUAAGGUAUGGCUUGGAAUAAUAUCAUACAUUUCAUGGUUUGCGUUCCUCUUCUGUUGGGUUUCUCUGUGCUGCCUGCAUAUAACAAGAAUGUAUUCUUCGAUGCAAUUUCCAAUUCUCUUGAACGCGGAUCAAGGAAUAGACACAACCGGUUAUCUAGGCCAAUGAAAUUUGGCGCUGAGGUUUUGUCUUAUUUUGUUUAUCUGGUAUAUUUCUGCUCUGAUGGCAGGUAACUUAAAGUGAUUCUUUAGAAUAAAACGGCUUUAUGCAGACAAGCGGCGACAUUCCACAAAUGCGCGGCAACGUUGGCUAUGGCAUUAGAAGUGAUUGGGCUAAACAAAUUGCUGGACCUCGGUAGUAGGCCAGCAAGUUUGGGAUCAUUCCUUAAUAUCUACGUCCAACUUG